rnacentral:rRNA from 1 species
GUGCUAACCUGCAAGUCGAGCGGUAGAGAGAAGCUUGCUUCUCUUGAGAGCGGCGGACGGGUGAGUAAUGCCUAGGAAUCUGCCUGGUAGUGGGGGAUAACGUCCGGAAACGGACGCUAAUACCGCAUACGUCCUACGGGAGAAAGCAGGGGACCUUCGGGCCUUGCGCUAUCAGAUGAGCCUAGGUCGGAUUAGCUAGUUGGUGGGGUAAUGGCUCACCAAGGCGACGAUCCGUAACUGGUCUGAGAGGAUGAUCAGUCACACUGGAACUGAGACACGGUCCAGACUCCUACGGGAGGCAGCAGUGGGGAAUAUUGGACAAUGGGCGAAAGCCUGAUCCAGCCAUGCCGCGUGUGUGAAGAAGGUCUUCGGAUUGUAAAGCACUUUAAGUUG